CAAAAUUCUUUAAUAAGGACAAUUCUAAACUUCCAUCAAACAGUAUGUUAAUCAAAUGUCUAUUCAAUAAGCAUUUAAGGAUCUGUCCUAGACCUGAAUGAACAAAUUAAAGUAUAGCAUUGUGUGGUGUCUUACAUAAAAUAUUUU